UACGGAGGGUGCAAACGUUGCUCGGAAUCAUUGGGCGUAAAGCGCACGUAGGCGGCCUGUUAAGUCGGGUGUGAAAGCCCUGGGCUCAACCCAGGAAGUGCAUUCGAAACUGCAGAGCUGGAGUCCUGGAGAGGAAGGCGGAAUUCUCGGUGUAGAGGUGAAAUUCGUAGAUAUCGAGAGGAACACCGGUGGCGAAGGCGGCCUUCUGGACAGUGACUGACGCUGAGACGCGAAAGCGUGGGGAGCAAACAGG
rnacentral:rRNA from 1 species